UUAAGUCCCGCAACGAGCGCAACCCUUGUCCUUAGUUGCCACCAUUCAGUUGGGCACUCUAAGGAGACUGCCGGUGUUAAACCGGAGGAAGGUGGGGAUGACGUCAAGUCCUCAUGGCCCUUAUAUCCAGGGCUACACACGUGCUACAAUGGCCGGUACAAAGGGUCGCAAUACCGCGAGGUGGAGCUAAUCCCAAAAAGCCGGUCUCAGUUCGGAUUGGAGUCUGCAACUCGACUCCAUGAAGUUGGAUUCGCUAGUAAUCGCGCAUCAGCCAUGGCGCGGUGAAUACGUUCCCGGGCCUU
rnacentral:rRNA from 1 species